AUUAAUAUAGACGACAUGUGGGUAUAUAAUAAGUUUUGACUUUUUCCUCGAUGAAGACCUGAAUUUCUAAAGAAAUAACAAAACACUAGCUAUGCCAGUGCCAUUGAGCUAAAAGGAACGAAAUUAGCUAUGCCAGUGCCACUGGGUAUUUCCUAUAUAUUAAAGCGGAGUCGAAAACUGUCACCUGGUGCGUCCACGUCAUUCUCUUUUAUGCCGUCCAUCCGAUUGAGUAACAACGGCUAAAAACACCUGCAGCUGACAGUAACAGACGCAUCGCUGCUCCAUUCUCCAUGACUGUUCUGGAAGCUCCAAGCGUUGGCGAAAAAAGUAAGAUAUUUCUGCGAGGCAAGGAAUCCCUCCCCCGCUUCUACUCUUUCGGUUCGCCGGUUCGCCGUCUCGCACACCCACUUCCUACACCGCCACCGAGCACUCGCUCAGUUUCAUACCCAUCCUCGAAGUCGCCUCUGUCUAGUUCCUGCUCUUCCACCACCGCCUGUGAUGUAUCCCCGAGGCCCGGAUGGGGGACGAGAUGCCUCGUCUCGCCCUAUGCUUGCCACUCCCGCCGGCAACGACACGCGCGAGGAGGAUGAGAUCACCACCGCGGAGGCUCAUGUGGAGAAAGACGCCGCGCGGAUGGACGCUGCCCUCCUCAUGCGGACUACGCCCAAGAUGGACGAGUUUCACACCGGGGGCGAUCUGGACUCAAGUGGAAGUGGAAGCGGCAUCUCGGGGCCAAGCGCCUCCAAAAGACAGCUACAAAGAAGGGGAUCGUGGCGGCAACGAGUCAGCAGCAACAGAGAAGAAUGUGGUCGUGGCUGUAAUGGGUCAGCAGGUACACCAUCCACGCUCA
rnacentral:misc_RNA from 1 species